CCUACGGGAGGCAGCAGUGAGGAAUAUUGGUCAAUGGGCGAGAGCCUGAACCAGCCAAGUCGCGUGAAUGAUGACGGCCCUACGGGUUGUAAACUUCUUUUGUCAGGGAGCAAUUGGGUCCACGCGUGGGCUUAGCGAGAGUACCUGAAGAAAAAGCAUCGGCUAAGUCCGUGCCAGCAGCCGCGGUAAUACGGGGGAUGCGAGGGUUAUCCGGAUUUAUUGGGUUUAAGGGGUGCGUAGGCGGAAUAUCAAGUCAGCGGGAAAAAUUCGGGGCUAAACCCCGUCGUGCCGUUGAGACUGAUGUUCUUGAGUGGGCGAGAGGUAUGCGGAAUGCGUGGUGUAGCGGUGAAAUGCAUAGAUAUCACGCAGAACUCCGAUUGCGAAGGCAGCAUACCGGCGCCCAACUGACGCUGAAGCACGAAAGCGUGGGUAUCGAACAGGAUUAGAUACCCCUGUAGUC
rnacentral:rRNA from 1 species